AUUUUAUACGAAUGAAAGUGCCAUUUUCAUUUUUGUUUUGAUAUAAUCAAUGCGUGUCACUCGAUCGGCUUCAUUUUUUACCUGUUUCGCUACAGUGAACUGAACAUACAUUUUAAUCAACCAAUUCUUAUUAAUUAAGCGACAAGCGACUAUUAAAGCAGAGGAUAGAUUCUAACGAUAUAAUAAUCAACGAGUGGAAAUUUUCAUAUCUAGUUUAGUUAGUCAAAAAAGAGCUUCAUCGAAAAUUCACUUGGCACUGUGUAGACUGGCGCAAAGAUUUAAUGGCUACUAAAAGUCCUACCAACGCAUCUGUAAAAAUGAACGACAUGCCGAACGAAAUUCUCUUACUUAUUUUCGGGCAUCUCACAAUAAAAGACCUUGGACGAUGCAGAUUGGUAUGCAAGCGUUUCAAGUUACUUUCUGAAGAAACUCAUAUACCUGAAUUGGUGAUAAGUAACAAAGCUGACAGCAUCAAGAACUACUGGUUUUUUACAAGAAAUCAAUAUAGCCAUUCGCACGUCAUCGACGUGAAAACAUUUAAUUCAUGUCGGUCGAUAGUCAGAUUGGAUAAGUUAAAUCGUCUUUACUUCCACGGUAUCUGUAAAGAAUUCGCUAAGCUGAAUGUUGAAGAUUUAACACAGCUCAAGGAAGUGAAAAUUGUAAC